UGAGUAACGCGUGGGAAUCUGCCCUCAGGAGGGGGAUAACGACCGGAAACGGUCGCUAAUACCCCAUAUGCCGAGAGGUGAAAUGAAUUUCGCCUGAGGAUGAGCCCGCGUCUGAUUAGCUAGUUGGUGGGGUAAGAGCUCACCAAGGCGACGAUCAGUAGCUGGUCUGAGAGGAUGAUCAGCCACACUGGGACUGAGACACGGCCCAGACUCCUACGGGAGGCAGCAGUGGGGAAUUUUCCGCAAUGGGCGAAAGCCUGACGGAGCAACGCCGCGUGAGGGAUGAAGGCCUCUGGGCUGUAAACCUCUUUUCUCAAGGAAGAAGAUCCGACGGUACUUGAGGAAUAAGCCACGGCUAAUUCCGUGCCAGCAGCCGCGGUAAUACGGGAGUGGCAAGCGUUAUCCGGAAUCAUUGGGCGUAAAGCGUCCGCAGGUGGCUUUGUAAGUCUGCUGUUAAAGCGUGGAGCUUAACUCCAUUUCAGCGGUGGAAACUACAAAGCUUGAGUGUGGUAGGGGCAGAGGGAAUUCCCGGUGUAGCGGUGAAAUGCGUAGAUAUCGGGAAGAACACCAGUGGCGAAGGCGCUCUGCUGGGCCAUAACUGACACUCAUGGACGAAAGCCAGGGGAGCGAAAGGGAUUAGAUACCCCUGUAGUCCUGGCCGUAAACGAUGAACACUAGGCGUCGGGGGAAUCGACCCCCUCGGUGUCGUAGCCAACGCGUUAAGUGUUCCGCCUGGGGAGUACGCACGCAAGUGUGAAACUCAAAGGAAUUGACGGGGGCCCGCACAAGCGGUGGAGUAUGUGGUUUAAUUCGAUGCAACGCGAAGAACCUUACCAGGGUUUGACAUCCUGCGAACCCCUGAGAAAUCGGGGGGUGCCUUCGGGAACGCAGUGACAGGUGGUGCAUGGCUGUCGUCAGCUCGUGUCGUGAGAUGUUGGGUUAAGUCCCGCAACGAGCGCAACCCACGUCUUUAGUUGCCAGCAUUCAGUUGGGCACUCUAGAGAGACCGCCGGUGAUAAACCGGAGGAAGGUGUGGAUGACGUCAAGUCAUCAUGCCCCUUACAUCCUGGGCUACACACGUACUACAAUGCUACGGACAAAGGGCAGCAAACUCGCGAGAGCAAGCAAAUCCCAUAAACCGUGGCUCAGUUCAGAUCGUAGGCUGCAACUCGCCUACGUGAAGGAGGAAUCGCUAGUAAUCGCAGGUCAGCAUACUGCGGUGAAUACGUUCCCGGGCCUUGUACACACCGCCCGUCACACCAUGGAAGUUAGCCACGCCCGAAGUCGUUACUCCAACCC
rnacentral:rRNA from 1 species